AUAGCUGGUUUCUCAAGAAAAGAAUCUUAGUUCCGCCUAAAGAAAUAUAAAUCUAAACAAAUAACCUUAACCCCUUUAGAGUAAUUCAAAUAAGGUACAGCCUAUUUGAUACAGGAUCCAACCUUGACUUAUGGGUAAUAUCAGACUACACACCUUUAAGUAGGCCUAAUAGCAGCCACCUUUAAAAAAGCGUCAAAGCUUACCAUGUAAGUCUAAAUUCACUAACUACCAUUGACCCCUAUAACUGUACUGAGAACUUCUAUAACUCUAUAGAAAAUAUUAUGCUAAAACUAGUAACAAGAGGAACAACCUCUCUCUAAUGCAAACUUAAGCCAGAAAGAAUCCCUCACUGGCAAUUAACAGACCUAACCAAAAGUAAUAAACUACUCUAGAAAACCUUACUCCACCUUACUGUUAACCUUACACCAGAGCAUUUCCAGAAAGAUUAAAAGAAAAAGAAGGAACUCGGCAAAUAUUAGUUCCGCCUGUUUACCAAAAACAUCGCCUCUUGCCAUAUAUAAGAGGUCCAGCCUGCCCAGUGACCCAGUUCAACGGCCGCGGUAUCCUAACCGUGCAAAGGUAGCGUAAUCACUUGUCUUCUAAAUAAAGACUAGUAUGAAAGGCACCACGAGAACUAAACUGUCUCCUUUUUCCAAUCAGUGAAACUAAUAUCCCCGUGAAAAAGCGGGGAUUUUAUAAUAAGACGAGAAGACCCUAUGGAGCUUUAAACAUUAUAAUCAUCUGCCCACAAAUAAAAUACCCAGGUUCCUAACCCAAACGCAAAUUGAUUAUAUGUUUUUGGUUGGGGUGACUGCGGAGAAAACCUAUCCUCCGCGAUGAAAGGACCAACCUAAACAACAAGCUACAGCUUUAUGUAUCAACAAAUUGACACCAUUGACCCAAUAUAUUGAUUAACGAACCAAGUUACCCUAGGGAUAACAGCGCAAUCCACUUCAAGAGCCCCUAUCGACAAGUGGGCUUACGACCUCGAUGUUGGAUCAGGGUAUCCUAGUGGUGCAGCAGCUACUAAGGGCUCGUUUGUUCAACGAUUAAAACCCUACGUGAUCUGAGUUCAGACCGGAGUAAUCCAGGUCAGUUUCUAUCUAUUAUAAGGCUUUUUUUAGUACGAAAGGACCAAAAAAGCAUGGCCUAUACUUAAGUAAGCCAUAGUCAGUAAUUUUUAGAUCAAUCUUAAAAACCACUAACCUUCC
rnacentral:rRNA from 1 species